UUUUUUUUUUUUUUUUUUUUUUUUUGACGAAAAAGAAUGCAAUACAAAAGAAUCU
rnacentral:ribozyme from 13 species